UCCACGCAUUAAGACUUGGGAGACCAAGCCAACCUGCCGGUCCAGGCAAGGUGGUUACGAGAAAUCGGAUGUGAGCUAUUUCAAGCUAACAAAUGGACUCUC
rnacentral:ncRNA from 1 species